rnacentral:lncRNA from 1 species
UACGAGAGACAGAGAGAGAGAGAGAGAGAGACAGACAGACAGACAGACACAGGCAGAAGCAGGCUCCAUGCAGGGAGCCUGACGUGGGACUCGAUCCCAGGUCUCCAGGAUCAGGCCCUGGGCCAAAGGCAGCGCUAAACCGCUGAGCCACCCAGGCUGCCCCAUUCUUGUUCUUUAAAAAAAUAAUUUUCAAUAUUAAAUGUCAUUAAAUAAAAAUGAGAAACUUAAAAAUUAUAAAAAAGAAAAAUUAGUAGUUCUACUACCCAGUGAAAAUCCCUGUUGACUUUUGCCAUAUUUCUUUCAUUGUAUUUUUCUUAUUCAUGUUUAUACGUAGUUACAAUCACAUGGCUUUAAAUUCUGUUUUUAAGCCUAAUAUAUCAUCUGCUUUUUUGCAUAUUACUAAAAACCUUUCUGUAAAGGGAGCAUAAUAUUUCAUGGAGUGGCCUUACCAUAAUUUCCUUAAACAUCCCAUAAAGUUUUUUUUUUUUUAUUAUUUAGGCCUUUUCUAAUUUUUCACGAUUAUAAAUAAUGUUGUUACAACAUCUUUUUACAUAAAUCUCAGCACUUAGGUCAUUUCCCUAGGAUGGAUUCCCAGAAGCAGAAUUACAGGAUAAAAAAAUAUAAGCAUUUUAAGACUCGUAAUGUAGAGCUCAAGUUGCUUUCCAAAGGAUGUAUCCUGGUGUUCACCCCCACUUCGCCAGCAGAAGCACGGCUGCUUUUUAAAUGUCUGUCUGGGACACUGUUCUGAAUAUGACAGCCUCGCAACAGACCAAAGGAGACCCAGAGAUUUCUGCCAACAUCUAGAAACAAUCCAGAUGGAGAUGAGGAUGGGACCACACGGACGCAAUGCAUCAGCCAGGAGCACUUCCAGCUGCAGGCCAGCACUGCCUCGUCCCUCAGGUCUCGGGUGUCGGGUUGAUUGACGGAGGAUGGAGAGUGAUGGAGACAGUCAUUGGACCAGCAGUGCAGAACCCUGGCUAUGGACGCAUCCUGCCAUUAACUCUCCAUCCCACUCAACACUGGAGCUCUUUGGUUCCUAAUCUGUCAAACAGAAUUGCUCCUGUCUCUUCACCUCAUUUCUGAUCAUCCCUGUUCAGUCGAUCGUUAGUUAGGGCUCCCUAUUGCCCAUCUAACCAACGUGAGCCAUGAGCAGAGGGGCAGCGGGCACUCAUCAGACCUUGUGGACCUUGUGCUGGACUCCAUGCAGCUCCCUGGGCCACAUCUUAGCCGGCGAUACCUCUCACCUCUGGUUUAAUACUGUUUGCAUCAGUUUCCAGUCACUGCUAUCACAAGCUGCCACAGACUUACUGGUUUAAAACAACAAAUGUAUUCUCUUAUAGUUCUGGAAGUCAGAAGUCUGAAAUGAGUCUUCCAGGGUGUUGGCAGGGCUGGUUCCUUCUGGAGGCUUCAGAUGAGAGUAUUUUUGCUUGCCUUCUCCAGAUUCCUGAGGCACCCACAUUCCUUGGCUCGUGGCUCCUUCCUCACUUCACUCCAAACUCUUACAUCUCCUGUCACAUCUUCUCUGACUCUGACCCUCUGGCUUCCUUCUAGAAAGUUCCUUGUGGUUACACUGGCCCCAUCCACAUAAUCCAGGAUAAGCUCUCUUCUCAAGAUCCUUCACUUAAUUACACCUGCAGAGUCUUCUUUUAACACAUGAAAUAAUGCAUUUAGGGGGUCCCAGGGAUUAGGGUACGGGCACCUUGGGAGCCAUUAUUCAGCCUUCUAUGCUAAUUAACCCACACUUUAGAGUGGACUCAGAGGAGAACUCCUCCCACUGAUGUGACCUAUUAAAGUUAGUUCUAGAUUGAAAAUAUAAAAGGUAAAAAACGAUAGCUAAGGUGUACGCUGGCAUGUUUGCCUACUAAGGCGACAGUGUCCAGCUCUGUCCUUCCAAAAACGAUGCCAGCGAAGCAGUAUCACCCCAUUGCACAGAAGAAGAGACUGAGGCCUACAGAAAUCAAGGACUUCACCCCAGUUCAUGUGGCUUCUAAGUGACAGAGCCAGGAUUUGAAGUCGGGUCCCGCUGACUUCAGAGCAACUGAGAGGAUGGGACUCAGAGUGACACGCAGGAGGAGGCUGGGGCCACAGGGUCCUGGAUGGAUGCAUGGGGAGGGUGAGGUCUGGACAGGUGAAGUACCAGAGGUCACCAGGGUCUUCUGACCCCUGGAGGCCCUCUUCCCCACUGUGACCACUCCCCUGGGGGUACAGUCCGAGACCUCCCCAAAUUCAGAGCUCCCUCCACUGUGGCUUGGCUCUAA